GUGCUUGCUUCAGCAGCACAUUGACUUAAAAAUUGGAACGAUACAAAGAAGAUUAGUGUGGCCCCAGCGCAAGGAUGACACGCAAAUACAUGAAGCGUAUCAUAUUAAA